UACGUAGGGGGCAAGCGUUGUCCGGAUUUAUUGGGCGUAAAGAGCUUGUAGGCGGUUUGUCGCGUCUGCUGUGAAAUUUCGGGGCUCAACCCCGAACUUGCAGUGGGUACGGGCAGACUAGAGUGUGGUAGGGGAGACUGGAAUUCCUGGGUGUAGCGGUGAAAUGCGCAGAUAUCAGGAGGAACACCGAUGGCGAAGGCAGGUCUCUGGGCCAUAACUGACGCUGAGAAGCGAAAGCAUGGGGAGCGAACAGG
rnacentral:rRNA from 1 species